AACUAAUUGUAUAAACUACCAAGUGAAGUUGCAUUCCAUAACAUAUAUACCCAACAGACCCAACAAUGCUCGGGUUUUCCAUAACUUUUAUACACGUUAAUUUAGUUUCAUAUUUAAUGUUUCAGAAUCAUUUUGAUACCCAUAAACACACUGUAUGAGUUAUCAAAGCUACUUCAAAUCACAAAGAAAGAACUAUGCACAAGUGGGAGAGUACCAGUGCACCUUAAAUGCUUCCUUGAUAGCCAACUUAGAUUUUUGCAGAGGUGAAACAAAGUCUAUGUGCUCGAGUAUUUUCGUCUUAUGGGUUUCAGGGUGAUGGUCCUCUCAUGCUGCAUAUAUUGGGUUGAAUCUCUUGGAGGGAAACUCAAAUUUUAGGUACUAAACUUCCCGAACUUGCUCCAACCUAUGGGGCAAAUAUGAGUUUUAACCCAAAACUCAUUUGUGGGGCAAAUUUAGCUCAGGAUUCCCCUUGGGUUAGGAGAAAAUUUUCAUUGUGACCAGAACACGAGUAAUACUUUUAUAUAAGUGGUGGGAAAUUGUAUUUUUUAAGUUCUUAACUUUUUAACACACAUAUCUCACCAUUUGUAUAGUGACACGUGGUGUACCACCUUGUGUACUGAUCACAUUGAAAAAUCUAUCCUGGGUUAGUGGGGCUAGCCCACCAUAUAUGUGUGUUUUUUUUAGUUUUAUAUUUAUAAAUUUAUUGAAUCCAACGACUAAGAUCUAAUAUGAUUAAAUCCAACGGUAAAAGAAAAUAUCUAAUGAUCCAAAUUUAAAUCCAAGAGCUAAAGUAAUAAAAAAAAAUUAUUUUAGGUGUUUCAUAUUCUUUCAUAGUAUUCCACAAGUUUCAUGGGAUCGGUUUUGGUGAUUUUUCAAUUUAGCGGAAUCUAAAUAUUUUUAAGUUAGCAUGUUCAUAAAAUUUAAUUAGGAUAGUCUACAUAAUUUUUUUUUAUUUUUUAAAAAUUACUUUAAGAAAAAAAAAUCAUCAUAAAUUCAUUCUUUAAUAAUGUCGGGCUAAAAAUUUAACCCAUAAAGGUUGGAGGAGAAAAACUAUGGCUAAAACCUAAAUUUUUUUUACUUAAAAUUUUAGGUUUUAACCUAAGGAUUCGAGAUAGUCUAAGGUGGGGAUAACAAAAGGCCAUUCAACAAAAAGGCAGAAGAAAAAAUCCUAAUCUUCAACCGCAAAGCUAACCGAUGUCACCUCUAUCACCACGCCAACAACCACAAGGGUAGCCACCCGAAAAAAAUUAAUUCCGCCUUGUAUUCAAUGAAAGUAUCCUAGUGCAAAAAAAUUCAACGUAAAACAAAAAUCGCCACACCAAAGAAGAGCCAACAGAUCCGGACCACAAACACAAGCCCCUACAAGUUGAACAACAAGCCUAAACAAAUGGUAAGGGAUGGGGCCCGGCUAAAGGGGUAUCUAAACACCGUCGCUUUGAUAAAAGCCGCAACAAACUUGGGCCCUGAUUUCAUGCAUGAAUAUUAAAUCCCUAGUAUAUUACCUUUCUUGCUAAUUCCAAGAGUGUUUCUGGAAUCCUACUAAUACUCUAUGCAUGGAUGUCAUUGAAUGCAUCUGGACAUUCUGUUAAGUUCCAUUGAGUGAGUCUGCAUCCCUAGAUUAUGUUCGGUUCCAUUGAGUUCGUAUGGAUUCUAGAAUCCAACCUCGUAUCUUGUGUGUCAAUUCUAUUCUAUUUCAUGAGUGCAUCUGGAAUGUGUAACAUUGUAAUAUGUUAGCUGAGCUCUUGUGUAUUAUUUAUAUUUGAUUCCAUGAGUGCAAUUGCAACGUGUAACGUUGUGAGCCAAGCCUAUUGUUGUUCUUAUCUCCUAAUUUUUUACUUAAUCCCCCACCCCAAUUAAUUUCUCCCCAGUUUGGACCACAGCCAGCCUCAAACCAACUCCACCGCCUUUUCGGGGUCAAAAGUAGCCUUUGCCUCUAGUCAUCAUCUAGACUAUAGAUGGAGGGCCCCACAAGUUAACUAAAUACAAAUUGAUGAUCACAUCAAUAAAUAGUUGGGUACUAUUAUUUUUGUCAUGAAAGACAUAAUUAAUAUUAUUAUAUACUCCUUAGUGCUUAGUCCACAUCAAUUAAUUUGUCAAAAUGUUGUUCGGCCUUAACAAUUAUUUAUCUGUAGGUGAUUAAGUGCUUAAUUUUAUGACCGACUUUCAAAUACUAACUUAUUGUAGCCAACAAUUGAUAGAACGACUCACUCAAAUUUAUGACAGAGUUUCAAAAAGUAAUUUAUUGUAACCAACUGAUUUAGUGACUCGUUCAAACUUAUGAUGCAUGGGUAUAGACUAACACUCUUCUUCAAACACUGUGUGAAUGAUACACACAUUUUAAUGCUUAUUAUUGGGAUCAUACAUGUUAUAAAUCCCUUUGUAAAUAUUAUUUUUGAAAAAAAAAUCAACCAUGAGCUAUGAAAUCCGUUGCUGGCUACUGGCCCAUUUUCGUGAUUAUUGAAUGUUUUGAGAUACUAAAGCCGUCUGUAUCGCUCCUGAGAGAAAAACAAAAGCCAUGUGUUGCGUGCUGGCACCUCGUCACUGGUGUUGGUGAUUCUUUAUUGUAAGUUUGGAGCAUGAAGCUGCUAAAUAAUUUCUCCAUACAAAUUGAUUAAUAUGAUGUCCAUCAAUGUUUCAUCAAUCCAUCGUGUAACGCACCAGCAAAUACGUCGCCCAAAAGCUACAGUAAUGCUUGUUGAGAUCAAAUUACAUUGGAGCGCAUUUACGUAAAGGGAGUGGAACAAGAGGAAUGGGAAUUGCACUCCUUCCGAGUUAUUCAAGUGUUUACCAACAUACUAGGAAUUAGUCUCCCGAACAAUAGGUGCGAUUUGAAUUUCGGGACAAAACCUCUGUUUGGAAUCCCUUUUUUCUACCUAAAAUACCCGUAUCUCGUCUCCCUUCCACCUCUUUUGUCUAUGUGGGCAGUGACCAAUAUCAAAUGAGAAGAAAACAUCAGAAGAGGGAAGAAGCAAAUGGAGAAAAGAGAUGGGGAAGCAAAGAAUUGGGGAAUGGGGUGCGGUGCGGUCUUCACGAGAAAAAAAAUAAUAAUUGGCGGAUAGGGAAGAAGAAUCAUAAGAGAACGAGAAGAAGAAUCAAAAGGAAGCAAGUGUUAAAAAAAACGAAAAUUAUGACAAAUUUUUCUGUUGUAAUUUUCAAUUGGCGGAUGAGGACUUAAAUGAUUAAAAUAAGGAAAUGUAUGCUAAAAUGUACCUAUAACGGUGUUAACAAUUGGCGGAUGAGGACUUAAAUGAUUAAAAUAGGGAAAUGCAUGCUAAAAUGUAACUAUAACAGUGUUUAAUUGUCAGAAAACGAAAAUUAUGACAAAUUUUUCUUUUGUAAUUUUCAAGUUGUUAAAAAAAAAACAUGUAGACGGGUGAAAAAAUGGGUAAAUGGGUAAAAAAAUGAUAAACAGGUUCAAACACGGGUAAAUGGUUAUGGUUAAAUAGGUAAAUGGGCACACGGUUAUGGGUAUGGAUAACCGUUUAUAAACGGUUACGGUUAUGAGUAUAACUGUUUAUGCAAUUACCCAACGGGUAAAUAGUUAUGCGUGUAUGAAUAUAAACGGUUAUGGAUAAAUAACCGCAAUUACCCGCCCACAAGAACCGUUGCCCAUCCCUACUUGUGAGUAGUCAGCUAGCUUUACUUAUGAAUUGAUGAUGAUCUUCCCUUAAUUUUUCUUUCUUCAUGUAUGAACGCGUCGAAUUUUUGUACGCGGAAGGUAAAGGUGCUUGAGUUGGGAUUUUUUUAUAUUUCUUCUCUUUGAUGAUUUUCUAGGAAAGCCUGAGCACCAUAAAAUUUUCAUUAACUUAAUAAAUCUCAUUCAUCUCAAAUAUCCCCUUCUCUUUCUUUGAUAUAUUAUCGAGCGCUCGCUUCUGUCUUCUUUUUUAUUCACAAGUUACAAGUCUGUUGUUAGUUCCUUCAGAGAAACACAGAAACAGAUGGAGUGUAUCAUGGCUAUCGUGCAGAUUUGCUGCAGAUGGUUAACAUUUUCUUCUCCGUCAUCUGCUGCUGCUGGAGAUGAUGAUGAUGAUGGUAUUGAAGCUAAUAUCCCCCCUCGUCGGGAAAAGUAUGAUGUGUUUAUCAGUUUCAGAGGUGAGGACACCCGCCGUGGUAUUACCAGCCAUCUUCAUGCUGCCUUACUUCAGAAGAAAAUUGAAACCUACAUAGAUUACAGACUUCAGAAAGGAGAAGAAAUCCGACCUGCCCUUCUAGAGGCAAUCGAGAAAUCCACGCAUUCGGUGAUCAUUUUCUCACAAAACUAUGCUUCUUCCACAUGGUGUUUGGAUGAGCUUGUGCAUAUACUCGAAUGCAAGGAAAGACAUGGCCAGAAGGUUAUACCCGUAUUCUAC
rnacentral:lncRNA from 1 species